UGCUUUUGUAGGAGGCUUGAAGGUAACUCUUUCGAAGGUCCAAUACCCUCAAAACAUUUUCCAAUUUGACAUCUUUGUAGGACUUGAGAAUAAGUGAUUUGUCUAAUGGAAGCUCUCCACUGUAAAGGAUAUGAAGUCUCUAAGUAUCUCGGUGCUGAGAAAUAAUAAUAUCCCUGAUUCAAUUCCAUUCAAUAUAGGAGAAUACCAACAGUUGAAACAGUUGUUUCUUGGAAAUAACAAGUUAAGUGGCACUGUGCCUGCACAAAAAAGCACUUCUCUUCUCAAUAU